rnacentral:lncRNA from 1 species
CUGGAAUGGUCCACGGGCAUCUAUAUCUGCUGUUCCCCAAUCCCACCAGCAAGGGGCGCGCGAGAUGAAACAGUUCUGUCCUGGGAUGUACCACCGAGGGUAGCGGAAAGACCACCCACUCUGGAAGGUACCAUUGGGAGAGGGCGUGUGACAACAGAGAGGGUCCCCUUACACCGCGUCGGGCAUGGACCACAGUUCCCAGCAGCGGCACUCAUGGCGCCACUAGGUCCAUCCCCACUCGCUCCUCUUCGUCUUCCCACUGCUUUUGAAUCCGAGUGGACACAGAAAUAUCAGUGGGCAAGUGGCAUCAACAUUGGGACCUAUAGAUCAGGAUCGCCCAAGCUGGAUGAACCUGUGGUUGACCAGCAGCCCAGUGUUGAGCAACCUCAACAAGAGGAACCACCAGCUGGGAUUCAGGAUAUCACACCUGGGAAGGAGGAAGUAAAUGGAGAGGAUCCAGUGAAUCAUAAUGAAGAGAAGGAGAAGGAUGCCUCUGGAGAUUCUGACCUGGAAACUGAUCUCCAGGAAUUGGCUGAGGCAAAGACUGGGGGUAAAGGUGGAGAUGGUCCUGAUGUCAGGGAGGAGUUUGCAUCAAAUCCAGAGCCUGUUGAAAUGCCAGAAGCAGGUAUGUCAUCCAUUCAGAAAGUAAUUUAUGUGGUUUCUGUUUUUCAGAAUAUUAUAUCUUUAACAAUAUAGAGGGAACAUUACUAUUAUUUUUAUAACAGAGUUCACAUAUUCUUUGAAAGAUAGUUCAGACCCCAGAUGCCUGAGUGCCUGACUUACAGACUUUCAAAUAAAGAAGCAGACAGGAUCA